ACCACCAGGGUUAGCGUGGCUCAGCUGAACUUGUUUGCAGGCAAUUUGCUGGCAAAGCGUAGCUCUGCUCCAAGCCCUGGGUGCAGGUCUCUUUUGGGAGGUACCUGUGCAGCAAGACCUGGCUCUGCAUUGACACACCUGGACUCAACAGCAUGUUCAGGUAUCAGCAGAGCUCCUUUGUAUUCACGCUUGUCAAUUUUAAAUUCAGAAUAACUGAAAUUAUUGCAUUUUCUACUGUGAGGUUUUCUUUAAUUGAUUAACUGGAGCCACAGUGCCCAUAGCAACUUAAAAAGCCACGAUCACUUACUUUUAAAAUUGUACCUAUUGUUUUCUAUCACUGCACUGGAGUUUACCAUUCUUCCAAAGCCCAAGUAAUGUGGAAAAAAAAUACUACAUGUAUUUAAUGAAAAUGAUUUGGAAUUGGAUAAUGCUCUCACUGAUGUAAAAGUCUAAAAAGUCCCACACUUAAACAACAGCUCUGAGUAAUUUCUAAUAUUCUGAGAAUGCCUUUUAUUUGUAGAAGGUCUGAGAAUUAAUAACUUCUUAGCCCAAAGGAGAAAAAAAAAGUAGGGAGAAAGAGACUCAUAAGAGUGAUAUGAACUGUUGUUUUCAUGAUCUAUUUCUCAACAGAAUAAAAUUGUUCAUCGAGUAGCGAUAUGUUUACCCCAAUCACAGCACUUCUCUCCUGGUGGUAAAGCAGCAAUUUGGGAGUGCAGCGGUGCUUCCUGACAGAAGAUCACUCUGGCAGAGCUUCUGAUCAGUCCCAGGAGGAAUGGCCAUGCAGGAAGAACAACCCACAUCAAGGCUGCCAGACGUGUAAUAAUGGGUUGACUAACAACCAGCUGAGAAGUCUUUCCAUUCAUUUGCUGUUUGUGAAAACCAGGUGGGAGGAAGAGGAGAAAAGGAAAGGAAGGGACAGGUUUGAUCCCAGGUGACAAGUCCAUACAGCAGGUCAGGAUUCAGCCAGGAGCAAGGUCUUCUGUAUUUCUACAACACUACAAAAUCCUGGAAGAAAGGCCUGCCAGUGACAGCUCUGACAUAUGCUCACAGCUGCACGGUGAAUGGCACAUAGGUAAUGGGGGUUUCUCGUAAUCAGCCUGUCAGAUUUAUGUAA
rnacentral:lncRNA from 1 species